UACGAAGGGGGCUAGCGUUGCUCGGAAUCACUGGGCGUAAAGGGUGCGUAGGCGGGUCUUUAAGUCAGGGGUGAAAUCCUGGAGCGCAACUCCAGAACUGCCUUUGAUACUGAGGAUCUUGAGUCCGGGAGAGGUGAGUGGAACUGCGAGUGUAGAGGUGAAAUUCGUAGAUAUUCGCAAGAACACCAGUGGCGAAGGCGGCUCACUGGCCCGGUACUGACGCUGAGGCACGAAGGUCAGGGGAGCAAACGGG
rnacentral:rRNA from 1 species